CCUACGGGGGGCUGCAGUGAGGAAUAUUGGUCAAUGGGCGAGAGCCUGAACCAGCCAAGUCGCGUGAGGGAAGACGGUCCUACGGAUUGUAAACCUCUUUUGUCAGGGAGCAAGGAGCGCCACGAGUGGUGCGGCGAGAGUACCUGAAGAAAAAGCAUCCGCUAACUCCGUGCCAGCAGCCGCGGUAAUACGGAGGAUGCGAGCGUUAUCCGGAUUUAUUGGGUUUAAAGGGUGCGCAGGCGGAAGCGGCAAGUCAGCGGUAAAAUUGCGGGGCUCAACCUCGCCGAGCCGUUGAAACUGGCAGUCUCGAGUUGGAGAGAAGUAUGCGGAAUGCGCGGUGUAGCGGUGAAAUGCAUAGAUAUCGCGCAGAACUCCGAUUGCGAAGGCAGCAUGCCGGCUCCACACUGACGCUGAGGCACGAAAGCGUGGGUAUCGAACAGGAUUAGAUACCCUAGUAGUC
rnacentral:rRNA from 1 species